rnacentral:rRNA from 1 species
AUUGAACGCUGGCGGCAGGCCUAACACAUGCAAGUCGAACGAGCGGCGGACGGGUGAGUAAUGUCUGGGAAACUGCCCGAUAGAGGGGGAUAACUACUGGAAACGGUAGCUAAUACCGCAUACUAUCGGAUGUGCCCAGAGGUGAUUAGCUAGUAGGUGGGGUAACGGCUCACCUAGGCGACGAUCCCUAGCUGGUCUGAGAGGAUGAUCAGCCACACUGGAACUGAGACACGGUCCAGACUCCUACGGGAGGCAGCAGUGGGGAAUAUUGCACAAUGGGCGCAAGCCUGAUGCAGCCAUGCCGCGUGUAUGAAGAAGGCCUUCGGGUUGUAAAGUACUUUCAGCGAGGAGGCGUUACUCACAGAAGAAGCACCGGCUAACUCCGUGCCAGCAGCCGCGGUAAUAC